ensembl:lncRNA
CUCUCAGGGAUAAGACUACUGGACUACCCAGACGAUCUUUUGCGUGCCUGUUGUUUGCAAGCUCCCCAACUCUAGACCAAGACAGCAAUUUGAAGCAGCUAUAACCCAUUAGAACGUUUACUUCACCUUUACUCUAUCCUAAACUGGAAGUUACUCUUUUUUUUAAAAGAGAACCUCCAAAUCUGAGCACUUCUCACUAAUAAAGCACUCGGUGCCUAACAGGCACCGUCAUUUCACCCUAAAUUCAGUCACCUUGGCAGAUCUUUAUAGUUUAACUCGGUUCGCACGAGGCAGCUGAGCACCCCGCGUUCUCGAGAGUGCUUUGUGGCCUAGACUCGCUCCUUGGAGAUUGCCUUGAAGCGAUUGGUCUCCCUCCGAGGAUCCUGGAAGCCUGAAGUGAGCGAGCAGGGAACGCACUGACACUAGGGAGUCAGACUCUGCGACGUAGCUCAGCAAUGGAGCGCUUGCCUAGCACAGACACGGCACAUCUCUACCCCGGCCACACACAGACACACACAGGUCUUCAGACGGUUUAAGAUUCACAGGCCGCCCCAAAACGUGCUGUGGCCUUUCCACCAGGUCAUUCCCAAAGCGGACAUCCGCUUGGGACUAAGUUUGAAAUGUGAGUAAAAGCUCAGAGAACGGAACCCCGUGUGUUGGGAGAAGUUUUGAGCAUGGCGUGGUGGUUGCAAGCCUAUAAUUCCAGCGCUCUGGAGUCGGGCAGGACUGCCUUGAGUUCGGGGCUUUCCUGGGCUACCCAGGGAUUCUCCUAAUUAAAAAAGUUUGGAAGCGGUGGAGGCUGAUGAGGAUAUAAAUGGACCUCCACCAAUUUCACCGGACACACACACUCCAAAGCAGGAACUCCCAAGAUGGGGUACGCCGCCGCGGCGCAGCAGGUUAUAGCCAAGGAAAGAAGUAAUGAAAGCAGGCCAGGAAACUGGAACACUUUGCCUUAAAGGCUACCUGGAGGGCCAUGGAUUCCCGUCGAAUGCUGGGACCACAGUGGGACAGAAAGGGUUAUGAAAUGAGCCUCCUUGCUGUUGGCCUGCUAAAUUGGCUAAUCCUCCCUAGUGGUACAAGGACAAAGCCAGCUCAGCUACUGAAGCCGCUUCUUGAUGUAGUCUAACCUUGAAACCUGGCCUCCUAGCCAGAACUUCAGGGUGCCAUCAGCACACCUCACUUUUCCGCUCUUGAAGUAAUCUCAGUUCUCGGAGAACUGAGUAUGAGGCCAUCCUCCAAUUGUAAUGCAUCGAGG